AGUUGAAGGGAAGGGAACAGUUUCCCUCCAGAAUGCUCAGGUUGCAUCUAAAAAUUUUCUCUAAUAUUUUACUUAUUAUGGAUCAAAUUCUUAUCUAAAUCAUAGUGAAACCAAGAAUCAAAUCUCAAAUUAUCUAAUAUAAACCUUCAUGGAGGUCUGGAUAUGCAGACUCUCUACUUCGUAUGCACGUCAGACGCCGUAGGAAAGUAGGAUGAACUCCAAUCCAAUUAGCUUCGCAACUCAAUCAAUCGAGAGAUGAGAUUUGAUAAUAUGAUAUCUCACAUCAGUAGGUGGGAUGCCCA
rnacentral:lncRNA from 1 species